UACGAAGGGGGCUAGCGUUGUUCGGAAUUACUGGGCGUAAAGCGCGCGCAGGCGGUCUUCCAAGCCAGUGGUGAAAGCCUGGAGCUCAACUCCAGAACUGCCAUUGAAACUGUUAGACUUGAGUACGAGAGAGGUGAGUGGAAUUCCCAGUGUAGAGGUGAAAUUCGUAGAUAUUGGGAAGAACACCAGUGGCGAAGGCGGCUCACUGGCUCGUAACUGACGCUCAGGCGCGACAGCGUGGGGGUCAAACAGG
rnacentral:rRNA from 1 species